rnacentral:rRNA from 1 species
CUUGAGAGGUGGUGGCGAUGGCCGUCGUCAGUUCGUACUGUGAAGCAUCCUGUUAAGUCAGGCAACGAGCGAGACCCACGUCCACAGUUGCCAGCAUACCCUCCGGGGUGAUGGGUACACUGUGGAGACCGCCGCUGCUAAAGCGGAGGAAGGAGUGGGCAACGGUAGGUCAGUAUGCCCCGAAUCUCCCGGGCUACACGCGGGCUACAAUGGUUGGUACAAUGGGCAUCUACCCCGAAAGGGGAAGGAAAUCUCUUAAAGCCAAUCGUAGUUCGGAUUGAGGGCUGCAACUCGCCCUCAUGAAGCUGGAAUCCGUAGUAAUCGCGUUUCAACAGAACGCGGUGAAUACGUCCCUGCUCCUU